AUCUGCCUCUUUUUCUCUUCUAUGUCUUCUCCAGGGCAGUCUGUGUCUUCACCAGCCAAUAAGCCAUUGUGUUCCGCACCCUGGCUUCUGAACAAAAAGGCCCUGAUGGCAACUCUCUGGGAGGCUCUGUCUGGGUGAAUAAAAGAUGAACUUGUGGAUCAUGAUGCUCCAUCCACACUCGCUGACUGGAUUUCCCUAGCUACCAGCAAUGACCUCCGAUUCAGGGAGCAUGCCAACGAGUUUAUAUGCAAGUCCUCAUAGGUUGUCCUUUCAAAGACUCCUAACUUCUCGAGUUCCAGUACAGGAACCCAUGCAGGUGGACUGUGUCAGGCUGUCAGAAAAGGAGCGUCAGCACAGAAGCACUAAUCACCUAAGCAUGUAUAGUGGAGCCAAGGGACAAUGUAUUUGAUACUGUGUCACAUAAAAGUUGGGGCACUAAACAAAAGGAUCCAAGAUUACAAAAUCAUCACUGAGGGUCUUUGUCUGCCUCAAAAACUUUCCAAAGUAGAAAACUCCAAUGCCUAGAUAACGUCACCAGCCGCUUCGAUCAGGUGUUUUGGUUUGGGGAUCUCAAUUUUCAACUGAAAGAUUACCGAAAACUGUGGAAUCUCUUCUGCAGAAGAUCGAAGGAAAAUAUAUGUCCAGUCUCCUGAAGCAUGACCAACUGAAUGAAGCCAAGAGCAAUGGUAUGUUUACCAGGGAACAAAUCUGUCACUCCUCUUAAUGUUAGGUAUACAAAAAUGAGGUUUUGGCAGCACCACUGAUCCCAGUUUCGGGGAAGACAUUAGAAGUACCUUUAUAGGUGGUGGUGCACGCAAAUGGGGAUCCUGGC